AGUGAACGCUGGCGGUAGGCCUAACACAUGCAAGUCGAACGGCAGCACAGUAAGAGCUUGCUCUUACGGGUGGCGAGUGGCGGACGGGUGAGGAAUACAUCGGAAUCUACUUUUUCGUGGGGGAUAACGUAGGGAAACUUACGCUAAUACCGCAUACGACCUACGGGUGAAAGCAGGGGAUCUUCGGACCUUGCGCGAUUGAAUGAGCCGAUGUCGGAUUAGCUAGUUGGCGGGGUAAAGGCCCACCAAGGCGACGAUCCGUAGCUGGUCUGAGAGGAUGAUCCGCCACACUGGAAAUGAGACACGGUCCAGACUACUACGGGAGGCAGCAGUAGGGAAUAUUGGACAAUGGGCGCAAGCCUGAUCCAGCCAUACCGCGUGGGUGAAGAAGGCCUUCGGGUUGUAAAGCCCUUUUGUUGGGAAAGAAAAGCAGCAGGUUAAUACCCCGCUGUUCUGACGGUACCCAAAGAAUAAGCACCGGCUAACUUCGUG
rnacentral:rRNA from 1 species